rnacentral:rRNA from 1 species
UUCCAGCUCCAAUAGCGUAUAUUUAAGUUGUUGCAGUUAAAAAGCUCGUAGUUGGAUUUCGGGCGGGUUUCGUCGGUCCGCCUCUGGUGUGCACUGCCGAAGCUCGCCUUUCUGUCGAGGACGGGCUCCUGGGCUUCAUUGCUCGGGACUCGGGCUCGACGAGGUUACUUUGAGUAAAUUAGAGUGUUCAAAGCAGGCGAUCGCCCUGAAUACAUUAGCAUAGAAUAGCAUGAUAGGACUCUGGCCUAUCUUGCUGGUCUGUAGGACCGGAGUAAUGAUUAAGAGGGACAGUCGGGGGCAUUCGUAUUUCAUUGUCAGAGGUGAAAUUCUUGGAUUUAUGAAAGACGAACUUCUGCGAAAGCAUUUGCCAAGGAUGUUUUCAUUGAUCAAGAACGAAAGUUGGGGGCUCGAAGACGAUUAGAUACCGUCGUAGUCUCAACCAUAAACGAUGCCGACCAGGGAUUGGCGGGUGUUCUUUUAAUGACCCCGCCAGCACCUUGAGAGAAAUCAGAGUCUUUGGGUUCCGGGGGGAGUAUGGUCGCAAGGCUGAAACUUAAAGGAAUUGACGGAAGGGCACCACCAGGCGUGGAGCCUGCGGCUUAAUUUGACUCAACACGGGAAAACUUACCAGGUCCAGACACGAGGAUGAUUAACAGAUUGAGAGCCCUUUUUUGAUUUUGUGGGUGGUGGUGCAUGGCCGUUCUUAGUUGGUGGGUUGCCUUGUCAGGUUGAUUCCGGUAACGAACGAGACCUCAGCCUGCUAAAUAGUCACGUUUCCUUUCUGGAUACGCUUGACUUCUUAGAGGGACUAUUGUCGUUUAGGCAAUGGAAGUGUGAGGCAAUAACAGGUCUGUGAUGCCCUUAGAUGCUCUGGGCCGCACGCGCGCUACACUGAUGCAUUCAACGAGCCUAUCCUUGGCCGAGAGGCCUGGGUAAUCUUUGAAACUGCAUCGUGAUGGGGAUAGAUUAUUGCAAUUAUUAGUCUUCAACGAGGAAUGCCUAGUAAGCGCGAGUCAUCAGCUCGCGUUGAUUACGUCCCUGCCCUU